GACGAACCGGACAAACGUUAUUCGGAAUUACUGGGCUUAAAGGGUUUGUAGGCGGCCUUGUAAGUCAGGUGUGAAAUCCCUCGGCUCAACCGAGGAAUAGCGCUUGAUACUGCAAGGCUUGAGGGAGACAGGGGUAAGCGGAACUGAUGGUGGAGCGGUGAAAUGCGUUGAUAUCAUCAGGAACACCGGUGGCGAAGGCAGCUCGCUGGGACGGUACUGACGCUGAGGCGCGAAAGCGUGGGGAGCAAACAGG
rnacentral:rRNA from 1 species